GUCAAAUUAAGCCAUUUUGUGUCUGUCUGAAACAAUUUUUAAAGUCCAGAACGACUUUAAAGUGCUUCGUCUGCCACAUUUUGAUACCGUCUGCUACUUUGGCUGGCUGAUAUGGAGGGUGUAAGAGUACCAUCAGAAAUUUAUUGAUCAGAUCAGGAAUUCUUUUAUAGAGGCAGAUGUCAUCAAAGAGACUGAGAUACCGCCUGUACCGGAUGAGACACCCUCUAGAGGAAAGGAAAGCAGAGGCAAG